rnacentral:pre_miRNA from 1 species
AAGCUACUCCCUCCGUUCGGAAUUACUUGUCUCGGAAAUAGAUGUAUUUAGAAUUAAAAUACGUCUAGAUACAUCCAUUUUCGCGACAAGUAAUUCCGAACGGAGGGAGUACAAA